rnacentral:rRNA from 1 species
GACAGAGGGUGCAAACGUUGUUCGGAAUUACUGGGCGUAAAGCGUGCGCAGGCGGCGCCGCAAGUCAGGCGUGAAAUCCCCCGAGCUUAACUUGGGAAUGGCGCUUGAAACUACGGUGCUGGAGUGUGGCAGAGGGAGGUGGAAUUCCACGUGUAGCGGUGAAAUGCGUAGAGAUGUGGAGGAACACCGAUGGCGAAGGCAGCCUCCUGGGCCAACACUGACGCUCAUGCACGAAAGCGUGGGGAGCAAACAGG